rnacentral:rRNA from 1 species
GUCCACGCCGUAAACGAUGGAUACUAGCUGUUGGGCGCAAGUUCAGUGGCUAAGCGAAAGUGAUAAGUAUCCCACCUGGGGAGUACGUUCGCAAGAAUGAAACUCAAAGGAAUUGACGGGGGCCCGCACAAGCGGUGGAGCAUGUGGUUUAAUUCGAUGAUACGCGAGGAACCUUACCAAGGCUUAAAUGUAGAUUGACAGGACUGGAAACAGUUUUUCUUUCGGACAAUUUACAAGGUGCUGCAUGGUUGUCGU